AACUUCCAGCCUGGUCUGGUCCCUUUCAAUACUUUUCACACUAUUGGGCAUUUGCUGCUCAAGCGAUGCAAAUCUCUGUCUCUGCUCCUCCCGCCUUUUUCCUUGUCACGAAUUUGAUCGGUUCCAGUUUUCGUGGAUGCUAGAGAAGAUGCGCCGGGCAAUCUCUCUCAGAUGGAGAUUGGAUUCCGUAGCUCGAGACGCUGCGGGGUGCCCUUUGAGAGUUCCUUCUUAGGGGGAAUUCCCUGAUUCUUGGUUGCUCAGCUCUAUAGAAGCACUACAGGGAGAUCCUCCGAUCCUUACUAUCAGCCAGGGGAUUGACGGGACUGGACGAGUAAAAUUCGUGCUGUUGGAUGCCGAGGUUGAGGUCCUCACUGCAAGGCAAGUGCUGCUUAAGGGAAGCACUUUAUGCAGUCUCUGGUCGAGGCUCUCGGUUUCACAGCCUUGAGCUCUCUGAACGCCCGAAAGAUCUCUGCCCCUCUCGUUAUCUACUACUUACUACCCACUCUCAGACUCCCAUUUCAACCGCAUCUAGAAUCAUUCUCUACUAUCCUAUCAGCUAAAGAGAAGAGAGUGGGGGAAGAAAGCGUUGACACGCAUAGCUCUACGGGCAAUGAGUAUUCAAACAAUCUCCAAUAUUGCAUUUGAGGUGAAAUGUCGUCUCUUGUAAGCAUCUUCAUCCACGAAAACAGGAUCUUGACUUCUCUGUAUCGUUGUCCGACAGUGAAGUCAUAGUCAGAUAAUACAGCAUUCCAAGGGUGACGCUGACUAUGGACAGGGCAGCUCCUCCAGCAAAGAUUCCAAGUUUUACGACAUAGCAGUAGUAGUUCCCAAAGUCGGUGCUAUUCUCACCGUGUCUCUCAUUCAUGGCAGCUGCUGUCAGCAGCAAGAAAAAUGCUACAGCAAAUGUGAACCUGCAUUACAUUAGAGCGCAUUAUGAAUGUUUUACUUCAGUAUAAGCUUAAAAGAUAUUGGAUAAACAUGAACAUGGCGAUGCACAACAAUAACAUGACAGUUAGGAGCUGCAGUAACUGGAUAGGGAAAUGAUGAAACCAAGAUUGAUAGAACAAGGAAGCUCCCAGGGGCUCAUGGGAGUUUUCCAAUCCAAAUUACAAAAAUAAACCGUCUCGUAAAGUCAAAAGAGAGGACAUACAACAACAUGAUGUUACAGAAGCAUUUUGCCCUUGUUGUAAUUCAGGUCGUCUAAUUAGUCGCAUCGCAUUGAAAAUUUUGGUGGAAUAGGCAUCCAUUCAGAUUAAGUGUCGCUACUUAUUUGCUGUUUCCCAGGAACCGGCCAACCAACCUACUGCUAUUGUCCAACUAGAGCUGGAGAGAUGAGGGCUCUUGUUGCAGCAAGUACACCCAGUUCCCAGAUUAAUAAUUAUCUGAGCUAUCACGAGAGCCAUUGCAGCUGUUAAACCGAGAGCUAGAGCAGGACUUUGGGGACGAGCACAUUGUGUAGGCGCUAUCAACUGCACUGUGGAACCCUGUGCAUUGGAGAGGUUGGGUGUCAUUUGAUUGUAAGGAAGGCAAGUCAUACUUAUCAAUAGGUGAGACUUAUCGACCACAGAAGAAACAGAUAUCAGAAAGGAGGAGCAGUGUUUCAAAAUGCAAGAACAGAAAUGUGAAAUUCAGAGAGCUUAGAGCAUGAAGUCUGAUCAAUGCCGAAGGGAUAACAUUUGGAGUGGCAGAGGAUGAACCCUCCCAUGGUCGGUAUUAACAAAAGAACAGCAAGUGUUCAACAGUUUUGCUUGAAACCAGUUAGCAAAGUGGAUAGUACUUUGAUCCGGGUGGCCUCGGCAGCGAAACCUGUGGCAGUAAAAAAGAGCCAAAAACCACCACAACAAACGAGCAGAGAGUUUCUCUCCAGCUCUUUUUUUAAUAUAUUUAUUUUGGGGUCAGAAACAGGAAUUUAACAGCAGUCGGGGGGAAAACCUCGUUACAGAAAACGUCGAGUUGGUCUUUGGGAACUUAUUUAUUUAUUUCUUCUUUUGAUAGAUUAGGGCAAGCAUUCUUCAACUCUGAAAAAGGGACAAAAUCUGGCCCAAAAAAGAAAAAAGAAAAGGAAAAGGGACAAAAAAGGAGUAUGAGGACAUGAAGAAACGUAUUUAAUUCU